rnacentral:rRNA from 1 species
CCUACGGGUGGCAGCAGUGGGGGAUAUUGCACAAUGGGGGAAACCCUGAUGCAGCGACGCCGCGUGGGCGAAGAAGUAUUUCGGUAUGUAAAGCCCUAUCAGCAGGGAAGAAGAAAUCACUGUACCUGCGUACGACGCCCCGUCUAAAUACGUGCCAGCAGCCGCGGGAAUACGUAUGGUGCACGCGUUAUCCGGAUUUACUGGGUGUAAAGGGCGCGCAGGCGGCACGGCAAGCCUGAUGUGAAAGCCCGCGGCCCAACCGCGGGACUGCAUUGGGAACUGCCGGGCUGGAGUGCCGGAGGGGCAGGCGGAAUGCCUAGUGUAGCGGUGAAAUGCGGAGAUAUUAGGAGGAACACCAGUGGCGAAGGCGGCCUACUGGACGGUGACUGACGCUGAGGCUCGAAGGCGUGGGGAGCAAACAGGAUUAGAUACCCCUGUAGUC